AGAACGAACGCUGGCGGCAUGCCUAACACAUGCAAGUCGGACGCUCUUGAGGCUUCGGUUUCAAGGGAGUGGCGCACGGGUGAGUAGCGCGUGGGAACCUGCCCUGUUGUGGGGGAUAACCGAGGGAAACUUCGGCUAAUACCGCAUGCGCCCCCGGGAGCGAUCCUGGGGGGAAAGAUUUAUCGCAGCAGGAGGGGCCCGCGUCGGAUUAGGUAGUUGGUGGGGUAACGGCCUACCAAGCCUUCGAUCCGUAGCUGGUCUGAGAGGAUGAUCAGCCACACUGGGACUGAGAUACGGCCCAGACUCCUACGGGAGGCAGCAGUGGGGAAUAUUGGACAAUGGGGGCAACCCUGAUCCAGCAAUGCCGCGUGGAUGAUGAAGGCCUUCGGGUUGUAAAGUCCGUUUCGGCGGGAAGAUGAUGACGGUACCGCAGAAGAGCCCGGCUAACUCGUGCCAGCAGCCGC
rnacentral:rRNA from 1 species